CUCUGUUGGUUCCUUGAGGACGGAGGAUCUGGCGAAAUUUAGCCCUCCUUGCAGUUUGCAACAUACCAACAAGCAUGGAAAGGCAGGGAAGGUUGCAGACUUUUGUAAAAGCCUUUGGUCGGAUCCAUUCCGAUGGCAGUUAGUGAAGAGUAUGGGCAUAUUUAUAGCGGGCGUAUAUGUUGCACGACAGGUAGCAGAGGCAUCGGCCCAGGCUGGAGCAGCACCAACGUGAUAUUCCACCACAAGCUGAAAUCUUUUUGCAAGACUAAGCAGGUAGCCUACAGAUGACAGGGUAUGACAGUCCCUAAGCUUUCAUUCAAAUGGACAGUGGUUGGAACUAGGCUGAAUUGUUACAUCUGCAUCUUGAAUUAAAGACGGGGCAACUUUUGUAUUAUGCAAGGAAAGGUGAAAAACAUUUAAACUGUCAAAAUAAAAGGUUAUUAACGGAAA